CCUACGGGUGGCUGCAGUGGGGAAUAUUGGACAAUGGGCGCAAGCCUGAUCCAGCAAUGCCGCGUGUGUGAAGAAGGCCUUCGGGUUGUAAAGCACUUUUAUCAGGAACGAAAAGGUUUCGGUUAAUACCCGGGACUGCUGACGGUACCUGAGGAAUAAGCACCGGCUAACUUCGUGCCAGCAGCCGCGGUAAUACGAAGGGUGCAAGCGUUAGUCGGAAUUACUGGGCGUAAAGCGUGCGUAGGUGGUUUCUUAAGUCCGUUGUGAAAGCCCUG
rnacentral:rRNA from 1 species